rnacentral:lncRNA from 1 species
GUAAACUCAAAUUUCAUGUCCAUAUUUCUAAUUUAAAAUUUCUCAUCAGAUAAUAAAUGUCCUGUCCUCCAGCUGUAUGCUGUGACCCUGAAUAUGGACUGGAGUGAAGGAUGUUCUAUGAUCAAGAGGCAUUCUUCCUGGAAGAACAAUUUAGAUGCCCUUAUAGAAGAUGAGAGUAGUGUGUGGUGGUACUUCAGAGCAGAAGGAAAACAACCAAAGUGGUCCAGGUGCUAGAGACCUCAGCAAGAACUUUAUGAAAGAGAAUGAAAAACGUCAGUGAAAACAUCCUUAUUAUUUUAGAAGAGUGUUUUAAAGGUUGCAUCUCAUCUAAGUUCCAAUAUAGACCUUAAUGCCAUCCCAGAAACUCUUAUUCCUGGAGAUAACUCUAUUGACAGGCGCUCAAUGGCCUUAAUUGUUUGAUCUCACUUGGUAACAGAUAGUAAUUCUUGAUAUUCAAAAGUAGAAAUAUAUGCAACUUUUAUUUCCUUAGUACAAAUCUUGUACUUCACAUUAGACUUAAAAAGUAUAGCAUAGUUUUGUACAUUUUAAUCCUCAUGGAUGCUUAAGUUUGUUUCUGACUCUGUGUAAGGUGUGUGUGUGUGUGUGUGUGUGUGUGUGUGUGUGUGUGUGUGUGUGUGUACAAUAUAUAUGUGUGAUGUGGGUGGGCAUAGCAGCACAUGUGUGCAUAUGUAUAUGGAAGGCAGAAGGCAAUUUCAACGUGCUUUGUUUCAAGCAGGGUCUUGUAUUGGCCUGAAAUGUUGCAAGUGACCUAGACUAGCUGGCCAGGGUGUCCAGAAAUCCACUCAACUCCACCUCUUCCAUCACUCUAACUGGAAUUGCAGGCAUGUGCUUCCACACCGAGCAUUUCACAUGGGUUCGGGGAAUUCAACUCAAGUCACAAACUUUGUAGGUUAAGCUAUAGUGACUGAAGUGCUUCCCCUUUCCUAACUUUAACAUAGUGUUUACUAAAUUGUUACUUUCCCAACUUUCCAGCAACAUACUCCAUGGAUUUCCUGUCUCAGAAGAGGAUUAGUUUUAAUUUCCCAUUGAUUAUAGCUGGUGUUGUUUGUUUGUUUGUUUGUUUGUUUUAAAAGACUAGCUUUGAGUUUUACUUUAUCCUCUUGGAAAACAAGACCCCAACACAUGAAGCAAUCAAUGACUGAGUGUUCCAAAUAUUGACUUUCUUGGUUUCUAUUUUCUCCUUACCUUUACAAAUAAGUACCAAUUUACAUAGUUUGGCAGUACUUAGGACUGUUUUAUCUUGCUUUUUUACCAAAAACUUUCAAUUUUUCUCAUAAUAUAUAUUAGCUAUGGUUUACUCAUAGUUCAUUUAUUUAUUAGCUGUGAAUUUAAAUAGCUCAGUUGUUAAAAUUCAAACCCAGCUAAAAACUAAAAUUAAAGCAUAUAAUAAUUUUAUCACAUGGCUACAUAUAUUGUUUCCUAUAAGCCAUUUGAUUGAUGUGACAGGCAUGCUGGCUCAUGUCUGUAACCGCAGCACUUGGGAAGGCCAAGAUGGAAUGAUAACAAGUUUAAGGCCAACUUGGAAUACAGAAGCAAGUAUUUGUUUCCAAAGAUGGAAAGGGAGGAAAUAUUUAAAUAAAUACACAGCGCUGGUACUGGACAUCACUUGGUAUCUUGAAAGAUGGGGAAAAGUUUUAGGGGAAAGAACAGCAUGGUUUUUUCUAAGUAGAAAUUAUUAUCCAACUGAAGUAUAAUACUAAUUAAAUGUACCAAUAAAUAUUAAUUCUCAACAUAAAAUAUACUGUUGCAGCCUCCGUGGCAUUCUCAUUAAAACAGGGAAUAAACCAAGACUGUGAGACCUGAUACUAUGUGACAUUUCUAGUUAAUCCACAGAGAAAAGCACUUAAACAAGAAAUAUGAUUAUUAGAAAGAGAAGCAAACCGUAAUUUAUAAGUAAAAGACCCAUUUAUUAAACAAUUACACAAAUCACUAGCUCUCUGGAUCAUAAAUAGCCACUGAAACAAUGCAAUGCUAAAAUCUAAAUAUAAGCAAAACUUGACAAAAUAGCCUCUGACAAAGCUAAUGUGUAGAAUCUACAUAAAGGAAACACUAGACCUUUGAUGAGGUGCUUAGACUAGCCCUUGAAUACACUGUAACUUCUGGAAAGCUAGAAUAUAUUAAAUCAUCAAUUAUUUCCACAUCCAUUCUGUCAAAUGCACAUGGAGGCUAUUAUUUGAAAUAUCAGAUUGUGAUUAUAAAAAUAACAGCAAAGAAGAAAUGAAACUGUCCAAGAAAAGCAUUGAAAAUAAGAUCAUUAUUAGAAAUGUAAGCAGUAGACAAUCUCUGUACAUGACUCCAAACAUGACAUAUCUUAUCUAUUUUAAAGAAAUAUAAACUUGUAAAAUGCUGAUCUCAAUUCCUGGUUUAUAACAGAGUAAACUCAAUUAUAGAGAAGUAACCUAUACAGAGGAAUUAAAAUAUUGAGAUAUCUGGUAAAAAUAUAUAAAAAUAUAGAAAAUUAUAUAUUGCUCUAUGGAAUACAUGUUUUAUAGUAAACAGCAAAUUACAGACAGUAAAAUGCCAGUUUUAAAGUCCUGGUUCAUAGCAAUAUGAAAAUGAUUGAAAAAAUUCAGUAAAAUAUUAGAUGCAUAUGUAUUCACAUGCUAUAUAGCAAUUUACCUAAAUUCAAAGGGGUACAGUGUGUAUUUAUAAUGGUAGAAUUUCAUAGAGAGUUCAGGUGAGUACUUGCAUAUAGCUAGGUCAAUUCCCAAAACU